rnacentral:rRNA from 1 species
AGAGUUUGAUCCUGGCUCAGGACGAACGCUGGCGGCGUGCUUAACACAUGCAAGUCGAAGGAAAGGCCCCGCUUGCGGGGUACUCGAGUGGCGAACGGGUGAGUAACACGUGGGUGAUUACCCUGCACUUCGGGAUAAGCCUGGGAAACUGGGUCUAAUACCGGAUAGGACCCCUCUUAGUGUGGGGGGUGGAAAGUUUUUUCGGUGUGGGAUGAGCCCGCGGCCUAUCAGCUUGUGGUGGGGUAAUGGCCUACCAAGGCGUCGACGGGUAGCCGGCCUGAGAGGGUGGACGGCCCAUUGGGACUGAGAUACGGCCCAGACUCCUACGGGAGGCAGCAGUGGGGAAUAUUGCACAUGGGCGGAAGCCUGAUGCAGCGACGCCGCGUGGGGGAUGACGGCCUUCGGGUUGUAAACUCUUUCGCUAGGGACGAAGCUUUUGUGACGGUACCUAGAUAAGAAGCACCGGCUAACUCGUGCCAGCAGCCGCGGUAAUACGUAGGGUGCGAGCGUUGUCCGGAAUUACUGGGCGUAAGAGCUCGUAGGUGGUUUGUCGCGUCGUCUGUGAAAUUCCGGGGCUUAACCUCGGGCGUCAGGCGAUACGGGCAAUACUUGAGUGCUGUAGGGGAGACUGGAAUUCCUGGUGUAGCGGGGAAUGCGCAGAUAUCAGGAGGAACACCGAUGGCGAAGGCAGGUCUCUGGGCAGUAACUACGCUGAGGAGCGAAAGCAUGGGUAGCGAACAGGAUUAGAUACCCUGGUAGUCCAUGCCUAAACGGUGGGCGCUAGGUGUAGGGGUCUUCCACGACUUCUGUGCCGUAGCUAACGCAUAAGCGCCCGCCUGGGGGAGUACGGCCGCAAGGCUAAAACUCAAAGGAAUUGACGGGGCC